rnacentral:piRNA from 1 species
UAAAUAGAGAAAAGCCGUUUAAUUCUGAGU